rnacentral:tRNA from 1 species
GCCGGAGUAGCUCAGCUGACAGAGCGGCUGCCUUGUAAGCAGCGGGUCCGCGGUUUAAAUCCGCGCUCCGGCUCCA